UCAUUCAUAAGAACUGGCUGGUUGGCGACAGCCAGUGCAUGUGGCCACCCGAAAUGAGGCAUUUAUGCAGCUUGUUUAGAGCUCAAGCAAGUCCAGGUCCUCACUGGUACCGGGUGCCCUGUGUUGUGCUGCAUAAAUAUGACACCUACGCUGAAGCACGACUCAACCUGUCCAAGGCAUCAGGGUCAUCUAGCUUCAGUGCUCAUGAGAAAAGUUACCGAAAGGGGAAACGCAAAAAAAAUCUAGGACGAUGGACUUCCCACAAGAGCAGCUUCCAUCACCACCUGCUUCCAUGCUUAAAAGAGCAAGAUAUAUUAGCCCGGACGCAGGUCUACCAGAGACCCACUCUGUCCUUUGUUGCCAACAAACUCGGUGCACAGUGAACCAAGAUGUGUUAGUGCAGCACAAAGGCCGGCCACCGAGCCACGGUCUACUUGGCAGUCGGCAAGCUCGGCACAGAGUGAAGCAAGAUGUGUUAGUCCAGCACAAAGGCCUGCAACCAAGCCACCAUCCGCUAUGCAGUCAGCAAGCUCAGCACAGAGUGGAACAAGAUAUAUUAGUCCAAUACAAAGGCCUACCAGUGACCCACUAGGUGUUUGGCCAUCAGUGAGAUCUGCACAUAGUGCUAUACCAGUUAUCUGGCAUUGGAGGUUCAUCAGUUGGCACAGCCACAAGACGAAUUCUAGAAUUGCUGCUCAGCCAUGAAGUGCCUGUGCAGUACAGCUGGGCAGGACAAAAGGGAAAGAAAAAAUUCAUGAACCUCAAUACACCAGAGGUUAUCUUUAAUGUUGCCUCGGACUACUCAGACUCAGAUGCCUGAAAACCUCUUCUGACCACCAAUUGUAAUUAAGGCUAGAAUAAAUUAUUUUCUGUCAAAAAACUUUGUUUCUUUUAUUGUCACAGCCAAGCACCUCUUUGUUGCUUGAUGCAGU
rnacentral:misc_RNA from 1 species